UAUAUUAUAGAGAAUCCAGAUACAGCAGGACAGGAUGAUUUGUGAAAACAGGAAGAAAGUGUGGUCAAUAUGUCAGUUUCAUGAUUACCAAUGUAAAUAAUUUGUUAAUAUGUUAAUUUGUUAAUAUGUAAAAUGUUAAUAAUUGCAUACAUUCGGUUCGCUUAUAUGUUCCCAAGCAUUAAAAAGGUACAUAUAUGUACAUAUAUGUACCUUUUCCUUUAAAGGUUAAGGUACAAUAUCAAGAGCCAGCCCUGAUUGGCUGCUUGAUUUUCAAAUUAAAAGAACGUCCAGUUGGCGGUCUUUCUUUCGGUGGAGACGAAGUCAUAGCACGUAACAGGGCAGUAAAAUCAGCAGUGUAAUAUUUGCAGUGUUAAAAGUUAUUAAUUCCCAAAGAUUUGAAUUAACAAUCCACAGUGUUAAACAGUACUCGUGUUCAGUGUUGUUAUAUGGUGUAAAUAAAAGACCCGCCGAAUUGUCUGGACUCCGCCCUUCAGUGACUGCUGCCUCGCGAAGCGACAACGCCAUCUUUUCUUCGAGCGACCGAGACGUUGGUCGUCCUCUCGCCUCUGUUCCCUCCUCGGCCUGGGGUUACUGCUAAUCUGGCGCUGAAGACUGAAGCUGCUAACGUUAUAUUCGAAGCCUCAGAAGACCUUCAAGGAUCCAGUUGACCUCUGAAUCAGCUGUUAAGAAAAUGGGAAAGUUAUAUUGCUUCAAUUGGUCUCCUACUUCAUUUGAUUCCACCUUCAUUACAAGGCUGCAAGGGAUCUGGAAAAAUGUCAUCCUGUCAAGCUGAAAAACAUCUUC